GGGUGGUGUACAGGUGGUGCAUGGCUGUUGUCAGCUCGUGUUGUGAGAUGUUGGGUUAAGUUCCGCAACGAGCGCAACCCCUAUCCUAUGUUUCCAGCGGGUGAUGCCGGGGACUCAUGGGAGACUGCCGGGGUCAACUCGGAGGAAGGAAAAGAUGACGUCAAAUCAUCAUGCCCCUUAUGUCCUGGGCUUCACGCAUGCUACAAUGGCCGGUACAAAGCGCUGCGAUACCGCAAGGUGGAGCGAAUCGCAAAAAGCCGG
rnacentral:rRNA from 1 species